UCCCGGUGAUUUAGCUUCGUGUGACCCACCCGUUCCCAUUCCGAACACGGAAGUGAAAGCGCGAAGUGCUGAUGAUACUCAAAUUUUUGGGGAAAGUAGGCUUCGCCGGGAU
rnacentral:rRNA from 1 species